GACGAACGCUGGCGGCGUGCUUAACACAUGCAAGUCGAACGGUAAGGCCCUUCGGGGUACACGAGUGGCGAACGGGUGAGUAACACGUGGGUGAUCUGCCCUGCACUUCGGGAUAAGCCUGGGAAACUGGGUCUAAUACCGGAUAGGACCACUGCCUGCAUGGGUGGUGGUGGAAAGCUUUUGCGGUGUGGGAUGGGCCCGGGGCCUAUCAGCUUGUUGGUGGGGUGAUGGCCUACCAAGGCGACGACGGGUAGCCGGCCUGAGAGGGUGACCGGCCACACUGGGACUGAGAUACGGCCCAGACUCCUACGGGAGGCAGAAGUGGGGAAUAUUGCACAAUGGGCGCAAGCCUGAUGCAGCGACGCCGCGUGAGGGAUGACGGCCUUCGGGUUGUAAACCUCUUUCAGCACCGACGAAGCGCAAGUGACGGUAGGUGCAGAAGAAGGACCGGCCAACUACGUGCCAGCAGCCGCCGUAAAAC
rnacentral:rRNA from 1 species